GUGCUUGCUUCAGCAGCACAUAUACUAAAAUUGGAAUGAUACAGAGAAGAUUAGCAUGACCCCUGCGCAAGGAUGACACACAAAUUUGAAGCAUUCCAUAUUUUU
ensembl:snRNA U6 U6 spliceosomal RNA